UACGGAGGGUGCAAGCGUUGUCCGGAUUUAUUGGGUUUAAAGGGUGCGUAGGCGGCUAUUUAAGUCAGUGGUGAAAGCCAACAGCUCAACUGUUGAACUGCCAUUGAUACUGGAUAGCUUGAGUAUAGACGAGGUAGGCGGAAUUGACGGUGUAGCGGUGAAAUGCAUAGAUAUCGUCAAGAACACCGAUUGCGAAGGCAGCUUACUAGACUAUAACUGACGCUGAGGCACGAAAGCGUGGGGAUCAAACAGG
rnacentral:rRNA from 2 species